AUUAAAUCUGUUCUCCGAGUCUGGAUACCUAAAAUGAGAGGCAUUAUGGCGCCAGACCGAUAGGGUCCAUUGGGAAACGAAUGGGCCUCCCGUGUGGAAAGGAGCAACAAGUUUUUUGCU
rnacentral:ncRNA from 1 species